rnacentral:rRNA from 1 species
GAGUUUGAUCUUGGCUCAGAUUGAACGCUGGCGGCAGGCCUAACACAUGCAAGUCGAACGGUAACAGGAAACAGCUUGCUGUUUCGCUGACGAGUGGCGGACGGGUGAGUAAUGUCUGGGAAACUGCCUGAUGGAGGGGAUAACUACUGGAAACGGUAGCUAAUACCGCGUAACGUCGCAAGACCAAAGAGGGGGACCUUCGGGCCUCUUGCCAUCGGAUGUGCCCAGAUGGGAUUAGCUAGUAGGUGGGGUAACGGCUCACCUAGGCGACGAUCCCUAGCUGGUCUGAGAGGAUGACCAGCCACACUGGAACUGAGACACGGUCCAGACCCCUACCGGGAGGCAGCAGUGGGGAAUAUUGCACAAUGGGCGGCAAGCCUGAUGCAGCCAUGCCGCGUGUAUGAAGAAGGCC